rnacentral:rRNA from 1 species
AAUAGAUACCCUGGUAGUCCACGCCGUAAACGAUGAGUGCUAAGUGUUAGGGGGUUUCCGCCCCUUAGUGCUGCAGCUAACGCAUUAAGCACUCCGCCUGGGGAGUACGGUCGCAAGACUGAAACUCAAAGGAAUUGACGGGGGCCCGCACAAGCGGUGGAGCAUGUGGUUUAAUUCGAAGCAACGCGAAGAACCUUACCAGGUCUUGACAUCCCAUUGACCACUAUGGAGACAUAGUUUUCCCUUCGGGGACAACGGUGACAGGUGGUGCAUGGUUGUCGUCAGCUCGUGUCGUGAGAUGUUGGGUUAAGUCCCGCAACGAGCGCAACCCUUGUUCUUAGUUGCCAUCAUUUAGUUGGGCACUCUAAGGAGACUGCCGGUGACAAACCGGAGGAAGGUGGGGAUGACGUCAAAGUCAUCAUGCCCCUUAUGACCUGGGCUACACACGUGCUACAAUGGACGGUACAAACGGUUGCCAACCCGCGAGGGGGAGCUAAUCCGGAUAAAACCGUUCUCAGUUCGGAUUGUAGGCUGCAACUCGCCUACA